rnacentral:rRNA from 1 species
AACGAACGCUGGCGGCAGGCCUAACACAUGCAAGUCGAGCGAGGACUUCGGUCCUAGCGGCGGACGGGUGAGUAACGCGUGGGAACGUGCCCUUUGCUUCGGAAUAGCCCUGGGAAACUGGGAGUAAUACCGGAUGAGCCCUUUGGGGGAAAGGUUUAUCGGGCAAGGAUCGGCCCGCGUUGGAUUAGGUAGUUGGUGGGGUAAUGGCCUACCAAGCCGACCAUCCAUAGCUGGGUUGAGAGGAUGAUCAGCCACACUGGGACUGAGACACGGCCCAGACUCCUACGGGAGGCAGCAGUGGGGAAUCUUAGAAAAUGGGGGAAACCAUGAUCGAGCCAUGCCGCGUGAGCGAUGAAGGCCUUAGGGUUGUAAAGCUCUUUCAGCUGGGAAGAUAAUGACGGUACCAGCAGAAGAAGCCCCGGCUAACUCCGUG